GUCCAAUCCCACCCCGGAUUAGCGCACGUCCCGCACGUCCCUCGUCGAUCCCUUUGCGCCGCCAUCUUCCCCUCCCUCCUCGCUCGCCCGCGCCGCCCACCACGGCCGCCCUCACCCGCGCCAGCCGCCACCACGUGCUCCGGCGUACGUGCGGCGGGCGCCGACGCGCGCUCCGGCCAGCGCCGCUUGCUGGCUCCUCUCUCCGGCGAGGGGGCCAGGGACGGACAGGACACCUCAGCUCCGCCCCGGUGCAGAGGCUAGGGCCGCCGCCGCUGUCCUCCGGCACGGGGGUCAGGGUGGGGCCUCUUUGGCGCGGGACGCCGCCGCUCAAGGAGUCCGGGCCUCCGCCGCGGGCCCGUGGCAUCCCAGUCGGCGCUCGAUCUGCUAGCGAGCGGCGGCGCUCGGGCGGGAGUAGGACCCGCGGGCGCUCGGGCGGAUCUGCCCCGUCGCGUGCGUCCUCUUCCUCCUCCCCCGCCCGCCCGCCGCCGCGCAUCCUCCUCCGCCCACCGGUGUCGCGCGCGUCCUCCUCCGCCCGGCCGCCGGCGCACGCGUCCUCCGCUGGCCUGUCGGUGCUCCGGUGCCCCUACAAGAUCACCCGCUCCACGCUCAAGGCCCCCCGACACCCUGCACUCGCGGCCGCCGCUCCUCUCCGUACUCCACUGGAAUACUGGAUCCACAUAUCAGUGCCUUUCCCAUCCCAAUUCUGCUCUUGAACUGUUCCACCUUCUGAUUUGUCUUGCAACUGUGAGCAGAUGGCAGGACUCCACGAGGAACUGAUCCACCAGCAAACAGAUGUGGACCGAUGUCGGCAAAAAGGAUCCAGCGGAGCAUGACCCUCUUCGAUCAAGCACCUACAGAAAUUUGUGGAUUUGACUCUCCCCCUAAUAAAGUAUAAGCGGAGGAUGACCCUAAAUCCUUCAGCAUCUACAGGCUCAGUUUGGCUCUUGUCGUGAAUGGAUCACAGAAGGAGAAGUUUGCAUCUGGUUUGCUGCAACAGUUCCUGGCAUACCUAAAGUCCACGCAGUUCCACUUAUGAUUUCUGUUUGUUGUUUCAGCUUGACUUGGCAAACAUCAAGGAUACAAGGAGACAAUGAAGGUAUUAACAGAUUAGGACAUUGAUGCGUUGGUGUGUUUUUGGCAAAGCAACAAAGAAAGUGAUGGAUACCUUCCACCUUUAAUACAUGUAGGUUGAACUCUGUGUUAAAGAAAACAGAGCUUAAUAGUAAGAGGAGGAAAGCCUGCCAUUAGAAAAAUGCCAAGUGCAGUUCUAACAACAAUAUCAAACCACCAGGUGUGACAUCCUUGCUGAACCAAACAAAUACAGAAAAUGACGCCACAGGACAAUGAGAUUGUGAGCAAUGGAAAACCAACGGAUGAUUUUGAUGAUAGUUGACUGCGUUGUAACAAUCUUUUUGAAAGGGCACAAAUAGUAGUUUGAUAUAAUCUAAUCACUUUUAAAUAAUUUGACUUCAAACACGUGCCUGUGUCACGUGCUAAUAUGGAGGUGGAGAGUCUACUCAGGGAUUCAGGGAUGGAAGGCAGUGGGAGAAAGGAGUGAGGGAGGGUCUGGUGCUCUCUGCCAUAGUGCUAUGCAGAUGUUCAUAAGAGCUAUUCAUUUAUUUUUCGAGUCUUGGCAAUUUUUUGGUGAUAUUGCAAAAUACCAGUGAAAUAAUUGUAUAGGCAGUUAUCACUGUUUUAGUAACUGAAAUUUGUUCUCCUGUAGAUACAUAUAUGUAAAUAUACAUCGGCAAUUAAUUGUCAAUUUCACAAUUUAUUUUGUGAUCAAGAUGUUUAAUUUUA